rnacentral:rRNA from 1 species
UACGUAGGGUGCAAGCGUUGUCCGGAAUUAUUGGGCGUAAAGAGCUCGUAGGCGGUUUGUCGCGUCUGCUGUGAAAACUGGAGGCUCAACCUCCAGCCUGCAGUGGGUACGGGCAGACUAGAGUGCGGUAGGGGAGAGUGGAAUUCCUGGUGUAGCGGUGGAAUGCGCAGAUAUCAGGAGGAACACCGAUGGCGAAGGCAGAUCUCUGGGCCGUAACUGACGCUGAGGAGCGAAAGCGUGGGGAGCGAACAGG